rnacentral:rRNA from 1 species
UGGGGAAUUUUGGACAAUGGGGGAAACCCUGAUCCAGCCAUCCCGCGUGUGCGAUGAAGGCCUUCGGGUUGUAAAGCACUUUUGGCAGGAGAGAAACGUCGCGGGUUAAUACCCCGCGAAACUGACGGUACCUGCAGAAUAAGCACCGGCUAACUACGUGCCAGCAGCCGCGGUAAUACGUAGGGUGCAAGCGUUAAUCGGAAUUACUGGGCGUAAAGCGUGCGCAGGCGGUUCGGAAAGAAAGAUGUGAAAUCCCAGAGCUUAACUUUGGAACUGCAUUUUUAACUACCGGGCUAGAGUGUGUCAGAGGGAGGUGGAAUUCCGCGUGUAGCAGUGAAAUGCGUAGAUAUGCGGAGGAACACCGAUGGCGAAGGCAGCCUCCUGGGAUAACACUGACGCUCAUGCACGAAAGCGUGGGGAGCAAACAGGAUUAGAUACCCUGGUAGUCCACGCCCUAAACGAUGUCAACUAGCUGUUGGGGCCUUCGGGCCUUGGUAGCGCAGCUAACGCGUGAAGUUGACCGCCUGGGGAGUACGGUCGC